AGGCUGAGUGUUGGUGGAGGAAGGGAAGGAGAGAAGAGAGCGCUGCAGCCAAAAAUGCAAGAUUCCAAAAGCCAGAAGGAAGAAAAACAAGAAGGAGUCUGACUGUGUAACUUAGUAGUUGUAUCACUCAAUUGGAAAACGAGUGGAUAUCUUGUCUUGAGCAGAGUAUAAACCAGGGCAUUUCGACACCCAUGAAUCUAUCUGCUGAGACUUAAAUUUCAUCUGAGUAGAGAAAGAACUAAAUGUUACUAGUUGAGGAAGUUGUCUUAAUUAUGGGGCAUUGUGAAAUGGAUCAAUCCAAACUCAGGAUAUAACUGAUUGUAAUCUGUUCCACUACUUCAAUUUGGUCCUCAGCAGCAGUCUGUCACAAUCUUGGGAAACCCUGCCAAUAUGAAAGUGACCACACAGGCUACAGGCUAAGUACUGGACUACUGUGAUGCAGCUCUUCUUUCCAUAAUUUGUAGCAGCCAUGCUGAAGCAAUCUAACACUGUAAAUGCCAGACUGUGAUUGGUAUCUGUAUUAUUACCAGGCUAUAUACAUGAACCCAACUCAGGUAAUGUUCAAAACAACUUUAAAUAAAAGCACACAACUCCAUCUUUGUUGGUUUUUUUGUAGUAUUUUAAUGCAGCAUUAAAAUGCUAUAAUACUAGAGGAAAGCUGUAUACUAUCCAGCAAAUAAGGCACAUGUCGGAAUGCCAUUGAAUGGACAAUCCACAACAGAGGUUUUACAGUCUUUUCAGCAACCCAGUCACUGGUAGAACAAGUUGUCAUCUUGGUUGCUUAUACAGAACUGAUACCUCUGAGACCUUUGUCCAUAGGAUUUUUUUUUAGCUGUAAAAGUCUAUUAACAGUUACAGAAAAGGGAAUUAUACAACUUGGCAACUGAAACUGACAAGGUCAGUUGGAGCAGCUAAACAAAAGUAGUAAUAAUUAAGCUAAUUUUAAAGCUGCGGAAAUUCAGGUAAGUGUUAGUUUUAGCACUAUUACACAAUGUAGUGACUGGUUUACUAAAUAACUUUUUAAAGGAAACAAAGAGUUCAGUAUAGAAUUGGGUAGACAUUCCAUUUUAGCAUGGUAAAAUUUUUUUAAAUUCAUAAUAUAAUCAAGCUACAUGAAAUGUAAGGUGUAACAAAAAUGCUUCAAGUACAUGCACAUGCUUAUUCUAUCAUGCUAUGAAUUCUAAUUAAAAUAAACACAAUUCUAAACAACAAA